rnacentral:rRNA from 1 species
UAGUCCACGCCGUAAACGAUGAUAACUAGCCGUUGGGGGGAUUUACCCUUUAGUGGCGAAGCUAACGCGUUAAGUUAUCCGCCUGGGGAGUACGGCCGCAAGGUUAAAACUCAAAGGAAUUGACGGGGACCCGCACAAGCGGUGGAGCAUGUGGUUUAAUUCGAUGCAACGCGAAGAACCUUACCUGGUCUUGACAUCCUGCGAACUUUCUAGAAAUAGAUUGGUGCCUUCGGGAACGCAGUGACAGGUGCUGCAUGGCUGUCGUCAGCUCGUGUCGUGAGAUGUUGGGUUAAGUCCCGUAACGAGCGCAACCCCUAUCCUUAUUUGCCAGCACAUUAUGGUGGGAACUAUAAGGAGACUGCCGGUGAUAAACCGGAGGAAGGCGGGGACGACGUCAAGUCAUCAUGGCCCUUACGACCAGGGCUACACACGUGCUACAAUGGGAAGGACAAAGAGCCGCGAAGCCGCGAGGUGUAGCUAAUCUCAUAAACCUUUUCGUAGUCCGGAUUGGAGUCUGCAACUCGACUCC